rnacentral:rRNA from 1 species
AGUAACGCGUGGGAAUCUACCCAGUAGUGGAGGACAGCCAGGAGAAAUCCUGAUUAAUACUGCAUACGAUCUACGGAUGAAAGGUGGCCUCUCCUUGGAAGCUAUCGCUAUUGGAUGAGCCCGCGUUAGAUUAGCUAGUUGGUGGGGUAAAGGCCUACCAAGGCGACGAUCUAUAGCUGGUCUGAGAGGACGACCAGCCACAUCGGGACUGAGACACGGCCCGG